rnacentral:rRNA from 1 species
GAUGAACGCUGGCGGCGUGCCUAAUACAUGCAAGUCGAGCGAAUGGAUUAAGAGCUUGCUCUUAUGAAGUUAGCGGCGGACGGGUGAGUAACACGUGGGUAACCUGCCCAUAAGACUGGGAUAACUCCGGGAAACCGGGGCUAAUACCGGAUAACAUUUUGAACCGCAUGGUUCGAAAUUGAAAGGCGGCUUCAGCUGUCACUUAUGGAUGGACCCGCGUCGCAUUAGCUAGUUGGUGAGGUAACGGCUCACCAAGGCAACGAUGCGUAGCCGACCUGAGAGGGUGAUCGGCCACACUGGGACUGAGACACGGCCCAGACUCCUACGGGAGGCAGCAGUAGGGAAUCUUCCGCAAUGGACGAAAGUCUGACGGAGCAACGCCGCGUGAGUGAUGAAGGCUUUCGGGUCGUAAAACUCUGUUGUUAGGGAAGGACAAGUGCUAGUUGAAUAAGCUGGCACCUUGACGGUACCUAACCAGAAAGCCACGGCUAACUACGUGCCAGCAGCCGCGGUAA